UGACUGCGUACCUUUUGUAUAAUGGGUCAGCGACUUAUAUUCUGUAGCAAGGUUAACCGUAUAGGGGAGCCGGAGGGAAACCGAGUCUUAACCGGGCGUUAAGUUGCAGGGUAUAGACCCGAAACCCGGUGAUCUAGCCAUGGGCAGGUUGAAGGUUGGGUAACACUAACUGGAGGACCGAACCGACUAAUGUUGAAAAAUUAGCGGAUGACCUGUGGCUGGGGGUGAAAGGCCAAUCAAACCGGGAGAUAGCUGGUUCUCCCCGAAAGCUAUUUAGGUAGCGCCUCGUGAAUUCAUCUCCGGGGGUAGAGCACUGUUUCGGCUAGGGGGCCAUCCCGGCUUACCAACCCGAUGCAAACUGCGAAUACCGGAGAAUGUUAUCACGGGAGACACACGGCGGGUGCUAACGUCCGUCGUGAAGAGGGAAACAACCCAGACCGCCAGCUAAGGUCCCAAAGUCAUGGUUAAGUGGGAAACGAUGUGGGAAGGCCCAGACAGCCAGGAUGUUGGCUUAGAAGCAGCCAUCAUUUAAAGAAAGCGUAAUAGCUCACUGGUCGAGUCGGCCUGCGCGGAAGAUGUAACGGGGCUAAACCAUGCACCGAAGCUGCGGCAGCGACGCUGAUGCGUUGUUGGGUAGGGGAGCGUUCUGUAAGCCUGCGAAGGUGGCCUGUGAGGGUUGCUGGAGGUAUCAGAAGUGCGAAUGCUGACAUAAGUAACGAUAAAGCGGGUGAAAAGCCCGCUCGCCGGAAGACCAAGGGUUCCUGUCCAACGUUAAUCGGGGCAGGGUGAGUCGACCCCUAAGGCGAGGCCGAAAGGCGUAGUCGAUGGGAAACGGGUUAAUAUUCCCGUACUUGGUGUUACUGCGAAGGGGGGACGGAGAAGGCUAUGUUGGCCGGGCGACGGUUGUCCCGGUUUAAGCGUGUAGGUGUGUGUUCCAGGUAAAUCCGGUUCACUUUAACACUGAGGCGUGAUGACGAGGCACUACGGUGCUGAAGCAACAAAUGCCCUGCUUCCAGGAAAAGCCUCUAAGCAUCAGGUAACAUCAAAUCGUACCCCAAACCGACACAGGUGGUCAGGUAGAGAAUACCAAGGCGCUUGAGAGAACUCGGGUGAAGGAACUAGGCAAAAUGGUGCCGUAACUUCGGGAGAAGGCACGCUGACACGUAGGUGAAGUGAUUUACUCAUGGAGCUGAAGUCAGUCGAAGAUACCAGCUGGCUGCAACUGUUUAUUAAAAACACAGCACUGUGCAAACACGAAAGUGGACGUAUACGGUGUGACGCCUGCCCGGUGCCGGAAGGUUAAUUGAUGGGGUCAGCGCAAGCGAAGCUCCUGAUCGAAGCCCCGGUAAACGGCGGCCGUAACUAUAACGGUCCUAAGGUAGCGAAAUUCCUUGUCGGGUAAGUUCCGACCUGCACGAAUGGCGUAAUGAUGGCCAGGCUGUCUCCACCCGAGACUCAGUGAAAUUGAACUCGCUGUGAAGAUGCAGUGUACCCGCGGCAAGACGGAAAGACCCCGUGAACCUUUACUAUAGCUUGACACUGAACAUUGAGCCUUGAUGUGUAGGAUAGGUGGGAGGCUUUGAAGUGUGGACGCCAGUCUGCAUGGAGCCGACCUUGAAAUACCACCCUUUAAUGUUUGAUGUUCUAACGUGGACCCGUGAUCCGGGUUGCGGACAGUGUCUGGUGGGUAGUUUGACUGGGGCGGUCUCCUCCUAAAGAGUAACGGAGGAGCACGAAGGUUGGCUAAUCCUGGUCGGACAUCAGGAGGUUAGUGCAAUGGCAUAAGCCAGCUUGACUGCGAGCGUGACGGCGCGAGCAGGUGCGAAAGCAGGUCAUAGUGAUCCGGUGGUUCUGAAUGGAAGGGCCAUCGCUCAACGGAUAAAAGGUACUCCGGGGAUAACAGGCUGAUACCGCCCAAGAGUUCAUAUCGACGGCGGUGUUUGGCACCUCGAUGUCGGCUCAUCACAUCCUGGGGCUGAAGUAGGUCCCAAGGGUAUGGCUGUUCGCCAUUUAAAGUGGUACGCGAGCUGGGUUUAGAACGUCGUGAGACAGUUCGGUCCCUAUCUGCCGUGGGCGCUGGAGAACUGAGGGGGGCUGCUCCUAGUACGAGAGGACCGGAGUGGACGCAUCACUGGUGUUCGGGUUGUCAUGCCAAUGGCACUGCCCGGUAGCUAAAUGCGGAAGAGAUAAGUGCUGAAAGCAUCUAAGCACGAAACUUGCCCCGAGAUGAGUUCU
rnacentral:rRNA from 1 species